rnacentral:rRNA from 1 species
UAAAGCGUGCGCAGGCGGUUUGUAAGUCUGAUGUGAAAUCCCCGGGCUCAACCUGGGAAUUGCAUUGGAGACUGCAAGGCUAGAAUCUGGCAGAGGGGGGUAGAAUUCCACGUGUAGCAGUGAAAUGCGUAGAUAUGUGGAGGAACACCGAUGGCGAAGGCAGCCCCCUGGGUCAAGAUUGACGCUCAUGCACGAAAGCGUGGGGAGCAAACAGGAUUAGAUACCCUAGU